AGGUAAACGCUAAUAUUAUGUUUGUUCAAAGACAAUGUUUCGAUCGACACUACACGUUGUUAUUUUUACUUGCGUAUUUUCACUAUGCCAUAGUUUCCCGGGUAAAAUACUGGGCCCAGAAACCUUUAUUUUCCAGUCAUUCGAACACUGUGACCCACCAGUAACAGAAGUCGAUUUGUGGUUAACGCAAAGAUAAUUUAACCGGGCCACUAAUGUGCUAGAUAUGACAUUAUCCACACCAUGGCCACUUCUUAGUGACGAUAUCAUAAUGGAGAUACAAACUGCCACUAAGAGAGACGGCGGAUACAAACCGGGCUCGUUCUAUCUGAAAGGUCCGUUUUGCCACACGCUGAAAACGCUGGUAGGAGACGUAUUCUAUACCAUCAUUGAGGCCGCUGGGGUGGAUGAUUGCCCUUUACCAGGCACUAUUGAAACAAAAGGUUUCCUCCGUAGUGACAAAUUAAAUGAUCAAAUUUUGUAUGGUGAGUACAGAGCUGAAGUUAAAUUCUACGUUGAAGAAAAAGUAAAAGGAUGCUAUAUGAUGUAAUAUGAAUUUAGUGCCUAAAGAAGAUUAAAUUUAAAAUUG